UAACUUCUAAUAUAAUUUUCUUGCUUAUUUUUCACUUUUAUGGAUGAAAAAGAACAAAAGCAGAAGGACUGCCAGAGACAUAUGUAGCAGAAGGAAUUGACCACAGAUAUUUUAUGAUACACACACCAGAAAUGUGGAAAAGGCAUUAAAACACACCUACACACAAAAAAAACGUGGAUUGGAAGCAAACAAGAAAAUUGCUACAUGUCCUUGGGAGAUAUUGAAAUUAUGGGGGCAUAUAGAUAAAUUUCUGGAUUGCCGGAGGAAGGUGGUAGUUCUGAGUGCCUCGGCGAUUUGGAGUUGGAAGGAUGCUUCAUGCAGCUGAUACGCUGGCUGCACUGUGCAUAGUGACAACUGAAACACGAAUCCUGGGA
rnacentral:lncRNA from 1 species